AUUGAAAGCUGGCGGCAGGCCUAACACAUGCAAGUUCGAGCGGUAACAGGGGAAGCUUGCUUCCCGCUGACGAGCGGCGGACGGGUGAGUAAUGUAUGGGGAUCUGCCCGAUAAAGGGGGAUAACCACUGGAAACGGUGGCUAAUACCGCAUAAUCUCUUAGGAGCAAAGCAGGGGAACUUCGGUCCUUGCGCUAUCGGAUGAACCCAUAUGGGAUUAGCUAGUAGGUGGGGUAAUGGCUCACCUAGGCGACGAUCCCUAGCUGGUCUAA
rnacentral:rRNA from 1 species